rnacentral:lncRNA from 1 species
AAAAGAAAUGAAGAAAAACGAAUACAAGACUUGAAAAAGCUGGGAGUAUCAUCAGUUCAAUUGGUUAUAAAUAGCGUAGAGCCAUCCUCUCGUUGUUGCAGAACUUAAGGAAAGAGAGACAAAAAGAGUGUUUGUAGGUGAUUAUAAUUAAGAAGAUAUAAUGUGUGGUUCAAAAAGAGUGUGGGUGAGUGAGUUAAUUUUCAUAUUAUUAGUAGUAAAAGGGUGGUGGAGUGAGGGAUGUUUGGAGCAAGAGAGGUAUGCUCUCCUC